GACGAACGCUGGCGGCGUGCUUAACACAUGCAAGUCGAACGGAAAGGCCCUGCUUUUGUGGGGUGCUCGAGUGGCGAACGGGUGAGUAACACGUGAGUAACCUGCCCUUGACUUUGGGAUAACUUCAGGAAACUGGGGCUAAUACCGGAUAGGAGCUCCUGCUGCAUGGUGGGGGUUGGAAAGUUUCGGCGGUUUGGGAUGGACUCGCGGCUUAUCAGCUUGUUGGUGGGGUAGUGGCUUACCAAGGCUUUGACGGGUAGCCGGCCUGAGAGGGUGACCGGGCACAGUUGGAUCGGGGAUGCGGCCAGGAUCCUUCGGGAGGAAGGAGGGGGGAAAUAUUCACGAUGGGCCGGGGGCGUAUUGAGGGACUCCGGGUGGGGGAAUACGGACGUCGGGGUGGAAAGCGGCUUCGGCUUUUACGGAAGGUUAGGGGCGGGAAAGGGGAAAGAAAGCACGGCCAACUAGGG
rnacentral:rRNA from 1 species